rnacentral:rRNA from 1 species
UACGUAGUUGGCGAGCGUUGUCCGGAUUUACUGGGCGUAAAGGGAGCGUAGGCGGACUUUUAAGUGAGAUGUGAAAUACUCGGGCUCAACUUGAGUGCUGCAUUUCAAACUGGAAGUCUAGAGUGCAGGAGAGGAGAAUGGAAUUCCUAGUGUAGCGGUGAAAUGCGUAGAGAUUAGGAAGAACACCAGUGGCGAAGGCGAUUCUCUGGACUGUAACUGACGCUGAGGCUCGAAAGCGUGGGGAGCAAACAGG